AACGAACGCUGGCGGCAGGCCUAACACAUGCAAGUCGAACGCCCCGCAAGGGGAGUGGCAGACGGGUGAGUAACACGUGGGAACGUACCCUUUGGUUCGGAACAACUCCGGGAAACUGGAGCUAAUACCGGAUAAGCCCUUCGGGGGAAAGAUUUAUCGCCGAAGGAUCGGCCCGCGUCGGAUUAGCUAGUUGGUGGGGUAAAAGCCUACCAAGGCGACGAUCCGUAGCUGGUCUGAGAGGAUGACCAGCCACACUGGGACUGAGACACGGCCCAGACUCCUACGGGAGGCAGCAGUGGGGAAUAUUGGACAAUGGGCGCAAGCCUGAUCCAGCCAUGCCGCGUGAGUGAUGAAGGCCUUAGGGUUGUAAAGCUCUUUCGCCAGGGACGAUAAUGACGGUACCUGGAUAAGAAGCCCCGGCUAACUUCGUGCCAGCCGCCGCCGUAACAC
rnacentral:rRNA from 1 species